rnacentral:rRNA from 1 species
GAAACGACUGCUAAGACUGGAUAGGAAAAGUAAAGGCAUCUUUACUUUUUUAAAAGACCUUCUUUGAAGGUAUGCUUAAGGAGGGGCUUGCGACACAUUAGUUAGUUGGCAGGGUAAAGGCCUACCAAGACUAUGAUGUGUAGCUGGACUGAGAGGUUGAACAGCCACAUUGGGACUGAGACACGGCCCAAACUCCUACGGGAGGCAGCAGUAGGGAAUUUUCGGCAAUGGAGGAAACUCUGACCGAGCAACGCCGCGUGAACGAUGAAGUACCUCGGUAUGUAAAGUUCUUUUAUUAAGGAAGAAAAAAGAGUGGAAAAACUCCCUUGACGGUACUUAAUGAAUAAGCCCCGGCUAAUUAUGUGCCAGCAGCCGCGGUAAUACAUAAGGGGCGAGCGUUAUCCGGAAUUAUUGGGCGUAAAGAGUGCGUAGGCGGUUUAAUAAGUCUAUAGUUUAAUUUCAGUGCUUAACGCUGUUGUGCUAUAGAAACUGUUUUACUAGAGUGAGUUAGAGGCAAGCGGAAUUCCAUGUGUAGCGGUAAAAUGCGUAAAUAUAUGGAGGAACACCAGAGGCGUAGGCGGCUUGCUGGGACUUUACUGACGCUGAGGCACGAAAGCGUGGGGAGCAAACAGGAUUAGAUACCCUGGUAGUCCACGCCGUAAACGAUGAGUACUAAGUGUCGGGUAAAACCGGUACUGAAGUUAACACAUUAAGUACUCCGCCUGAGUAGUACGUACGCAAGUAUGAAACUUAAAGGAAUUGACGGGACUCCGCACAAGCGGUGGAUCAUGUUGUUUAAUUCGAAGAUACACGAAAAACCUUACCAGGUCUUGACAUUUUCUUGCGAAGUUAUAGAAAUAUAAUGGAGGUUAUCAGGAAAACAGGUGGUGCAUGGUUGUCGUCAGCUCGUGUCGUGAGAUGUUAGGUUAAGUCCUAAAACGAGCGCAACCCUUGUCGUUAAUUGCCAGCAUGUAAUGAUGGGGACUUUAACGAGACUGCCAAUGAAAAAUUGGAGGAAGGUGGGGAUUACGUCAAAUCAUCAUGCCCCUUAUGAUCUGGGCUACAAACGCGAUACAAUGGUUGAUACAAAGAGUAGCUGAAACGCGAGUUCUUAGCCAAUCUCACAAAAUCAAUCUCAGUUCGGAUUGAAGUCUGCAACUCGACUUCAUGAAGUUGGAAUCGCUAGUAAUCGCGAAUCAGCAUGUCGCGGUGAAUACGUUGACGGGGUUUGUACACACCGCCCGUCA